GACAGAGGGUGCAAACGUUGUUCGGAAUUACUGGGCGUAAAGCGUGUGUAGGCGGCUACAUAAGUCGGAUGUGAAAGCCCCGGGCUCAACCCGGGAAGUGCACUCGAUACUGCGUAGCUUGAGUCUCGGAGAGGUUGGUGGAAUUCUCGGUGUAGAGGUGAAAUUCGUAGAUAUCGAGAGGAACACCGGUGGCGAAGGCGGCCAGCUGGACGAAGACUGACGCUGAGACACGAAAGCGUGGGGAGCAAACAGG
rnacentral:rRNA from 1 species